rnacentral:rRNA from 1 species
UCGAGCGGCAGCGCGGGGGCAACCCUGGCGGCGAGCGGCGAACGGGUGAGUAAUGUAUCGGAACGUACCCAGUCGUGGGGGAUAACUAUCCGAAAGGAUAGCUAAUACCGCAUACGUCCUGAGGGAGAAAGCGGGGGACCGUAAGGCCUCGCGCGAUUGGAGCGGCCGAUAUCGGAUUAGCUAGUUGGUGAGGUAAAGGCUCACCAAGGCGACGAUCCGUAGCUGGUCUGAGAGGACGACCAGCCACACUGGAACUGAGACACGGUCCAGACUCCUACGGGAGGCAGCAGUGGGGAAUUUUGGACAAUGGGGGCAACCCUGAUCCAGCCAUUCCGCGUGAGUGAAGAAGGCCUUCGGGUUGUAAAGCUCUUCCAGCAGGAACGAAACGGUGGUCCUUAAUACGGGCUACUAAUGACGGUACCUGAAGAAGAAGCACCGGCUAACUACGUGCCAGCAGCCGCGGUAAUACGUAGGGUGCGAGCGUUAAUCGGAAUUACUGGGCGUAAAGCGUGCGCAGGCGGUUCUAUAAGACAAAUGUGAAAUCCCCGGGCUUAACCUGGGAACUGCGUUUGUGACUGUAGGACUCGAGUGUGGCAGAGGGGGGUGGAAUUCCACGUGUAGCAGUGAAAUGCGUAGAGAUGUGGAGGAACACCGAUGGCGAAGGCAGCCCCCUGGGUCAACACUGACGCUCAUGCACGAAAGCGU